GACGAACGCUGGCGGCGUGCCUAAUACAUGCAAGUAGAACGCUGAAGGAGGAGCUUGGUCUCCUGGAUGAGUGGCGAACGGGUGAGUAACGCGUAGGUAACCUGCCUGGUAGCGGGGGAGAACUAUUGGAAACGAUAGCUAAUACAGCGUAAGAGUAGAUGUUGCAUGACAUUUACUUGAAAGAUGCAAUUGCAUCACUACCAGAUGGACCUGCGGUGCAUUAGCUGGUUGGUGGGGUAACGGCUUACCAAGGCGACGAUACAUAGCCGACCUGGGGGGGGGGACGGCCAAACCGGGACUGAGACACCGCCCAGGCUCCCACGGGGAGCAACCGUAGGGAAUCUUCGGGCAUGGACGGAAGUCUUGCCGGGCAACGGCGCGUGAGGUAAGGAGGUUUUCGGGUCGGUAAACCCUUUUGUAAGGGAAGAACGAGAGGGAGAGUUGAAAGUUCACGCUGUGACGGUACCUUACCAGAAAGCGACGGCUAACUACGUG
rnacentral:rRNA from 1 species